AGGGUGGAAUGCUGUACCCGGCUGCAUUCACACAGCAGUGGACCGUGAUGUGCUCCCUGGUUGUCUGCUGCUGUUGAUAGACAUGUUUCCUUCCAGUCUGGCACAGGACCUUCUCCCUGGACCGAGGCUUGUCUCCAAAGCCAGUCUCAUCACAAUUAUAAAUGAGAUGAGGCUUGUUCUCAAGGUUAUGCUUUUCAUAAAGGGCCUUGUACAGCCUGAAGAAUGCCUCAAUGGCCUCCGGUGUAGCACCAUGGACUCUGGACUGCUGUCCUUGAGGCCAAUUCUGGAUGGUGGGCCUUAAACCUGGACCACCACACAUCACUUGGCCCCUUCUCCAGGUUUACGGUGGUGCCAGAAGUUUGACAAGGUAUCUUGUCAGUGGAAGCCAUGGUCUGCCAUCCAGAAUAUAAAAGAAAGGAGAGACUCUUCCUCUCCAGGUGUCAGGGCCGAAUUAGGAUGAGAGUUGUGGACAAUAUUUUUUUUUUUUUUUUUUAUAGUCCUG
ensembl:lncRNA